rnacentral:rRNA from 1 species
UACGAGUGCCCCCAAGCGUUAUCCGGAAUUAUUGGGGCGUAAAGGGUGUGUAGGUGGUUUUGUUAGUCUUUUGUUAAAGCUCUCGGCUUAACCGGGAACAUGCAGGAGAAACGGCAUAACUAGAGGAUGCGAGAGGUGUGCGGAACUCAUGGUGUAGGGGUGAAAUCCGUUGAUAUCAUGGGGAACACCGAAAGCGAAGGCAGCACACUGGCGCACUCCUGACACUGAAACACGAAAAGCGUGGGUAGCGAAUGGG